rnacentral:pre_miRNA from 1 species
CUUGUACUCCCUCCGUCCGAAAAUACUUGUCAUUGAAAUGGAUGUAUCUAGAUGUAUUUUAGUUCUAGACACAUCCAUUUUGAUGACAAGUAAUUCCGGACGGAGGGUGUACUUG